UACGUAGGGGGCAAGCGUUGUCCGGAAUCAUUGGGCGUAAAGAGCGUGUAGGCGGUCCUGUAAGUCCGCUGUGAAAGUCAAGGGCUCAACCCUUGAAUGCCGGUGGAUACUGCAGGACUAGAGUCCGGAAGAGGCGAGUGGAAUUCCGCGUGUAGCAGUGAAAUGCGUAGAUAUGCGGAGGAACACCGAUGGCGAAGGCAAUCCCCUGGGCCUGCACUGACGCUCAUGCACGAAAGCGUGGGGAGCAAACAGG
rnacentral:rRNA from 1 species